CAUGUUGAAAACACUGGUUCUUGUUUGACCACUGAAGUUAAGCAGCAUUGAGCCCAGUCAGUACUUAGAUGAGUGACUACUUGGGAAAACUGACUACUGU